rnacentral:rRNA from 1 species
UAACUGAAGAGUUUGAUCAUGGCUCAGAUUGAACGCUGGCGGCAGGCUUAACACAUGCAAGUCGAGCGGGGAAAGGUAGCUUGCUACUGGACCUAGCGGCGGACGGGUGAGUAAUGCUUAGGAAUCUGCCUAUUAGUGGGGGACAACAUCUCGAAAGGGAUGCUAAUACC